rnacentral:rRNA from 1 species
GACGAACGCUGGCGGCGUGCUUAACACAUGCAAGUCGAACGGAAAGGCCCUGCUUUUGUGGGGUGCUCGAGUGGCGAACGGGUGAGUAACACGUGAGUAACCUGCCCUUGACUUUGGGAGAACUUCAGGAAACUGGGGCUAAUACCGGAUAGGAGCUCCUGCUGCAUGGUGGGGGUUGGAAAGUUUCGGCGGUGGGGGAUGGACUCGCGGCUUAUCAGCUUGUUGGUGGGGUAGUGGCUUACCAAGGCUUUGACGGGUAGCCGGCCUGAGAGGGUGACCGGCCACAUUGGGACUGAGAUACGGCCCAGACUCCUACGGGAGGCAGCAGUGGGGAAUAUUGCACAAUGGGCGGAAGCCUGAUGCAGCAACGCCGCGUGCGGGAUGACGGCCUUCGGGUUGUAAACAGAUUUCGCCUGUGACGAAGCGUGAGUGACGGUAAUGGGUAAAGAAGCACCGGCUAACUACGUG